rnacentral:rRNA from 1 species
UACGAAGGGGGCUAGCGUUGCUCGGAAUUACUGGGCGUAAAGCGCACGUAGGCGGAUUGUUAAGUCGGGGGUGAAAUCCUGGAGCUCAACUCCAGAACUGCCUUUGAUACUGAGAAGCUUGAGUCCGGGAGAGGUGAGUGGAACUGCGAGUGUAGAGGUGAAAUUCGUAGAUAUUCGCAAGAACACCAGUGGCGAAGGCGGCUCACUGGCCCGAUACUGACGCUGAGGCACGAAAGCGUGGGGAGCGAACAGG